rnacentral:tRNA from 1 species
GGGGGAUUAGCUCAGUUGGCUAGAGCACCUGCUUUGCAAGCAGGGGGUCAUCGGUUCGAAUCCGAUAUUCUCCA